rnacentral:piRNA from 1 species
UCAUGUAACUUACUUGUGCCUUCAGGAC